GGUUGUGCGCAUUGGCAGUAUCAUAGCCAAUGAGGUUAAUCCAAGGCGCGAUUAUUGCUAACUGAAACUUAUUGGGUCUCUGUACUAUAAAUACAGAAAGGUUCACUACUGAUAUUUAGGGAGGUAUCAGAUGAAA